AUUGAACGCUGGCGGCAUGCUUUACACAUGCAAGUCGAACGGUAACAGGUCUUCGGAUGCUGACGAGUGGCGAACGGGUGAGUAAUACAUCGGAACGUGCCUAGUAGUGGGGGAUAACUACUCAAAAGAGUAGCUAAUACCGCAUGAGAUCUACGGAUGAAAGCAGGGGACCUUCGGGCCUUGUGCUACUAGAGCGGCAGAUGGCAGAUUAGGUAGUUGGUGGGGUAAAGGCUUACCAAGCCUGCGAUCUGUAGCUGGUCUGAGAGGACGACCAGCCAAACUGGGACUGAGACACGGCCCAGACUCCUACGGGAGGCAGCAGUGGGGAAUUUUGGACAAUGGGCGAAAGCCUGAUCCAGCAAUGCCGCGUGCAGGAUGAGGCCCUCGGGUUGUAAACUGCUUUUGUACGGAACGAAAAGCCUGAGGCUAAUAUCCCCGGGUCAUGACGGUACCGUAAGAAUAAGCACCGGCUAACUACGUGCCAGCCGCCGCAGUAAAAC
rnacentral:rRNA from 1 species